rnacentral:rRNA from 1 species
ACGAACGCUGGCGGCGUGCUUAACACAUGCAAGUCGAGCGGUAAGGCCUUUCGGGGUACACGAGCGGCGAACGGGUGAGUAACACGUGGGUGAUCUGCCCUGCACUUCGGGAUAAGCCUGGGAAACUGGGUCUAAUACCGGAUAUGACCUCCUAUCGCAUGGUGGGGGGUGGAAAGAUUUAUCGGUGCAGGAUGGGCCCGCGGCCUAUCAGCUUGUUGGUGGGGUAAUGGCCUACCAAGGCGACGACGGGUAGCCGACCUGAGAGGGUGACCGGCCACACUGGGACUGAGACACGGCCCAGACUCCUACGGGAGGCAGCAGUGGGGAAUAUUGCACAAUGGGCGAAAGCCUGAUGCAGCGACGCCGCGUGAGGGAUGACGGCCUUCGGGUUGUAAACCUCUUUCAGCAGGGACGAAGCGCAAGUGACGGUACCUGCAGAAGAAGCACCGGCUAACUACGUG